rnacentral:lncRNA from 1 species
AGAGUAAUCAUACCCACUUCAUUAAAAUCCCGAUUCAUCAGUACAACACUGACUUCAGCAACAAUUGCCUCAGUCUUUCCAAAACCCUAUGAAGAAAAAAUCCAAUUCUCUAUUUUUUUUCCCCACCCGAAGCAUGAAGCUAGCUCUCCGACUCUUCUAAAAACUUAUUCUCUCUCCUUCCAUUUCUUAACCUAUCCUCUCCUUUAACCCUAAUUCUC